GACCCACAAAAUACGGCCCUCGCGCAGGGACUUUGAACGGGUUAGUGCGUAUUAGUGCACAUGUAGAUGGUUGUUGUGACCAAAAACCGGUGGAAAGAUAAUUGUUUACCAGUUUGCAGGAAGAGGCAUUCGGGGCAGUGACGCUUCGAAAAAAAAAGCAAAAUAACCAAAUCAAGGAUCAUUGGCAUAUCAGAUGGUCAAUCCGGGCAGCGCUUGGCUUCAGUUAUUCUUUCAUGUCCAGUUUUGUUUAUCAACGGUUCAGUCCGGUUUUUUUCCUUCCCCACUCUCGCAACACCAACCAGUCCACCCCCCAUCAAGCCUAUCAGCUGAUUAGACGCAAAUAGCGUCGUUGCAUUGUUUACCUUCCUUGAACCGCCUUCCCAGACCGAACGUGGGCCAGUUUCCCUUCACACCUCUCGUUGGAGGGCGUGUGACUGUUUAGACUGGAUGAUAUGACAGUAUUCGCGCAAGCUCAUCGCCUAUCGCAAAGAGAGAAGGGGAGCGUUUGAGACCACGACUAAGUGUUUCAUACGAACAUGCAAUCUCCAAGCAAGCGAGGAGAGAGAGAUAGAGGGAGAGAGAGAGAGAGAUAGAGAGAGAGAGAGAGAGAGAGAGAGAGAGAGAGAGAGAAGGCACUCCGCGAUAUAAACACCACACUCACGGGUAUGAUAACCGAUCACGCACCGUCCGGCUGAUGUCUUCAUGUUGACGGAGUUUGGCCAAGUAACCAAGAGAAAAACGGUGACCUUCUAAAGACUAUACCUGGAUCUGUGCGAGUGGCGCCUGGAUAAGAUAUGGAAGGGUAAGGGUGGUAAAUUAAAAAGCGACACGCGAAGGUCCUAAAUAUAAAUAUUGUUUACAAUGAAUAAAAAAAGUUCUAAUUUUUUUUCUCAACUUUUCUAUGAAUAUUUGUUUAUUAUUAGAGGUGAAAGAGAGACUAAGAGAUCUAAAACCUAUAUAAUCAUGUACACAACAAUAACAUCUGUUUGUUAUCUUGGAGUUUUCACUAACACUCUGUUGAUACUAUGGUUCACUGGUACUAGCAAGUGGCGCUUUAGCAUAUAUACAGGCACAAGUGAACCCUAAUCGCAGUGACCCAAUGGUCUAAUAGCUUACGCGUCCGCUCCAACAACAUCAGACAAGGAUCGUUUCCCAUCUGAUACAUACUCCAGUAGCGGAUCCUGUCAGUAUACAACGGCAAACAGCUCAUAUUCCUCUACUGACCAACAAGAAGAAACCCCAAAAUUGACAAUGAAAGAGGUGUGAUAGAAGUAAACAUGUCUUUUCACGAUUCCGAUCCUUCGAGAUCAUUCGCUAGAUCGCAACACUAAAAAUUCAAGCCAGAUGUUGCUGCCCUCCAGCACAUCUGAAUGCGAUUUUUGCAGCGCAAUUUCUUGACGCGCUCAAACAAACACGGCGCGCAUCUCACUUUCCCUCUAGGAUUCGUGUUACUCCCUGCCGGGCGUUGCAUAAUUGCCGAUGUAAACUACCGAUCGAGAGCCGGUGGCCGUAUGACUAAUGGUUUUGUUUUUCUAGUACAAAGCUGCCAUUUUACACAACUCUUAAUCAGCAGUUGAGAUGGUGAAGAGCUUUCCAAUACGCAGUUAAGUCUCGUUCCCGCCUGCAUUGACCUCUACCGUGCAAGCAAACGGAAACGGUUAUAAAUGUGCAGUAACAACAGCAUACACAAGCACCCAUACAUACAUACAAAAAACCCCAUCUUCAACAAUUGCAGCAUGUGAUAAAAAUAAUAGCCCGCAACAAAAAAUACCCACCGCGGGCAAGCCAGGGGCGUCCAGGCUGAUAAGCGCGGAGUAAAAGUCACCCCAGCAAAGUUGCAAUCGCCUUCACCACCAUACAGUGUAGCUAUCGGGCGAAACCAGUCGUAACCAGCGCUCCAUCGAUGGAAUGGAUCCACCAGGGCUCGGUACGGACGUGCCAAACAACAUAAACAAAUGGGCAGCAUCCACCAGCCGGCCGGUACCGCACCGACUUACCCCCCACAUGGGACUCUGCUACUUAGAACCGUACGGCGGCUACUGACGUCAAUCGGUCGGUCGGGACCCACGGUUCACCCUGUGAUAGUGGAUUGGCCCCGGCCCCAAAAGCGUGCACUGGAAACGGGGGCGGGCCAUUCCGGCUGAGGAUGGAGCAGAGCCUUCACCACUAGGUAAACGCGUGGGAAAAUCAACCAAUAAGCUGGAGGAUUCAUGCAGAGGGUCGGGAGCGGAGCGAAGGAUCGAGUUCGUUCGGGUCGAAAUAAUAAGCUGAUAGUGGUAGUGGCAGACAAGCGGACCAAGCCGUGUGGCUAGAGCGGCAACGCAAUAGAGCUCGCUCGGAGCAUUACGCUAAACGGGCCCCUGAUAAGCGCCCGCAUGGAGGUACAUCCAGCCACCAGGUGAUCCCAGAGGAUAGUGGGUAAGGCAAGGAAGGUUCCUUGCCAGUUUGUUUGCAAAACCACUCCUGCUCCGGUUUUCCAACGCGUACAGAGUGGAGAAUGAUCGACACAAAACACCCGAGCUCUCGCUGCCCGGGUUCACAUUCCUUCGAUGGCCUACGCGAGGUCGUCGGUUCGCGAGCGGCGAAAGGUGAUGCAGCUGAUAUGUAGAGGCGGGUGGUGGAUGGCCACCCAAUGUCCGGCUAGUAGCGGCGGAGUGCACGAGACGCCGCCGAUGAGUCGACUACCGUUGCGCGGGGGAAAGUGGACCGCACAAUCGGUGCUGGGGCUCGAGCAGUGGUAGCAGCUUGUGAGCAGUGAUAGCAUCGUCGUCGUCGUCGUGGUCGUCGUUGAGCCCUACAUUGCUCCCGUCGAGGGUGAAGAUCCUUGUGCGGUGAUGAUCACGCGUUCAGCACGUUCCCGGAGCGUGCUCGAUGACACUGAGCGCAGAGACAGAGCGCUUGCUGGAGGCCCCCCAACCGACUGACCGACCGAUAGUGGAGCGUACCGAGUGGAGAUGAAUGCGAAUCUUACUACCAAAUUGUAUACAGCUUGCGGGCAAAUUUGAGCUGGUACAGCGACGGGUGUCUGUGUGUACUUGACCCCGGACGCAAUGUUCCAAAAUAUGGAGUACAAGCGAUACGACGGGUGUUGAGAAUUGUUGUGAAAUAUAUUUUUAUUUAAAAAUUCAA